UACGUAGGAUGCAAGCGUUGUCCGGAAUUAUUGGGCGUAAAGCGCACGUAGGCGGCUUUGCAAGUCCCAUGUGAAAGCCCACGGCUUAACCGUGGAAGUGCAUGGGAAACUGCAGAGCUUGAGUACUUAAGAGGAUCGCGGAAUUCCCGGUGUAGAGGUGAAAUUCGUAGAUAUCAGGAGGAACACCAGUGGCGAAGGCGGCUUUCUGGACGAUUACUGACGCUGAGACGCGAAAGCGUGGGGAGCAAACAGG
rnacentral:rRNA from 1 species